AAGGCUUCUAAGCAUUUAAACGCAUUCUUUUUCUGGUCCUGACCCGACUUUAAGUCCUGAUUUUAAGUUAUACUUUUUGGUUUCCUUCACCUCGUCACCGUUUAGUAUUUUUGUGUUUCCUGACCUGACCUGUCCUGACUUCAAGCUUAGCUUUACUAUGGCCUGUAUGUAGUUGUUAGUCUAAGCGCUGAUAUCUUUUAUCUAUUUCUUUCUAAGUGUUAAGCCCAGCCACUCUAAGGUCCGAUAAUAUGCCAUUCUAUCAAUUAUUUGGUCAGGUGGGUUGCUGACUUAUAUCUUGC